AGAAGGCAGAGCUUGAAAUAAUCAAGAAAUAGCAAUGUGACUGCCACUGUGCUGGGCUCUUCGCAUUCUUUAUUUUAUAGAAUUAUCACAACAACCCAACAAGGCCAUUUACAGAUGAGAAAACUGGCUUAGGAAGGAUGAGUAAGAGGCAGCUUUUCCAGCCUGGGUCUGCCUAACUCUGAAGUCCUCAAUCCUCACAGCUCAUUGCCUCCCCAGCUGGUGUUAUGAGAGGUGAGAUCACCAAGAGAUCACCAGAGACUAUCGGAGUUGGGGAAGACAGAUGGAGACUGAAUGGGAAAAGAGACCAAGAGGGAUUAUGGGAGUAUCUUUCCCUCCCCAGCUUCUCAUAGUCAUGGAUGCCGUCUGCAAACUUCCUGCAGCCAUAAGGGAAUAAAUUCUGCCAACAACCUGAGGAAGUUUGGAAUCAGAUCCUGCACUUCCCCCCACCAUCAUCCACCACCCCCAAGCUUCUGAUGAGGCCACAGCUUCAUCCAAGACCCUGAGGGUUAAAACUCGGUAAGGCCCUGAAGUAAAGUAACCAGCUAAGCCAUACCCAGGCUUCUGACCCCUGAGAUGAUAAAUUUGUAGUAAUCUGUUACACAGCAUUUAAGCCACUACUUGUAGUAAUCUAUUACAUGGGGGGGGAAAAAAAACGGAUACAGUACAAUCUUUUCCUGUCCUCUACCUGUAUAACUAUGAAGUGAAUUUCUUGUAGACAGCAUAUAGUUGGUGUGUUUAAACCAUUUACAUUUAAUAUAAUUUUUGAUCAGUUUGGAUUUAGUUCUACCAUCUUAUUAUUGGUUUCCUGUUUGUUUCUAAGUUGGAUUCUUUUUAAAAAUCUAUUUGACCAUCUCUGCUUUUAAUUAGUAUUAACAGGAAUUAGUUUCGUUUUCCCUGCCUUCUUUUGAGUUAAAUGUUUUUUAGUAUUCUAUUUAAAUGUAUUUGUUUUCUCACUAUAUCUCUGUUUUUCAGUGCUUGCUAUAGUGAUUACAACUUAAGCAAUAUUCCACUUGAAGCCGUAAAACACAAGCACACUAUGAAACGUUAAGUAUGUGCUAAUAUUAUGAAAUGAAAACAGAUAUAGUGGAAUGAAAUGGAAUGACACGGAAUGGAAGAAACAACUGUUUGGAAAAUGUGCAUAUAUGAGAAUUGGCUUAGUGUUUUGGCACCAGAGAAAGCAAAGGCUCAGAUAGGGCAGGAUGGGAAGCUGGAGAUUCCUCUUAUUCCGUGGGCAAAAUAUUUGGUAAGACUGUCCUCUCUGUGAACUUGCAUAUUAACCCAAUAUCUACCAGACCUUUAGCUCUUGGGGCAGGAGUCAGCAAACUGUGACUCAUGGCCAGUUUAGCCUGUUGUCUGUUUUUGUAAAUAAAGUUUUACUGGAACACAGCCAUGCCCAUUCAUUCACAUAUUGUCUAUGGCUGCUUAUGUACAAGAGAAGCAUUGAGUCAUUGCAAGAGAAACUAUAUGGCCCUCAAAGCCUAAAAUAUUUACUAUGUAGCCCUUUAAGAAGUUUGUCAACCCCUGAUAUAGGCAGUAGUGGGAUCUAGGCGAUGAUGGAGCUAAGAAAUGAAAGGAGCCACCCAGUA
ensembl:lncRNA